UGGGUGAGCCCCAGCCCAGGCCAGUUUCUGCUACUGUCUGGGAUGGGGGUCCCAGGGGGGAUGGAAGAUCAGUUCCCCCCUGCAGCCCCUCUCUUCCCUGGCCGGUUCCUGGCUCUUGGGGUGGUUUUGGGACAUGGGGGCACCAAUGGUCACUCUCCCCCUCUCCACCAGGAGGCCUGUCCCCUGUCCGGGGACAUGACGGGCGAAGGCAACACGGAGCCGCAGUUGGGGUGACCCCCGGGGGCCAGGCUGGCUGCUCCAUCCUCAUCCUCCUCCAGCCCCUCCGUGGGGACAUCCCUGCCUGCCGGGUCCAGCUCAGCCUCAGGACUUUCUAUCAAGCUGCUGGGGACGUGGCUGUACGUGGCUGGGGCCGCCCAGUUCCCCCAGCACCUCCUGGAGAUGCUGCUCAUGGACCACGGCCACCUCCUCGUGGAGCCCGGCGCCAGCGAGAGGGAGCUGCUCAUCACCCAGAGCGUGGCCGUGGGUGACCAGUGUCUCACCAACAACUCUACCUACUUCGAAAUCACUGCCGGUAACACCACGCUGGUGAAGCACGCAAAGACCCAUCAAACCGUGGGGAUGCUGGUGAACCUCAGCUCUGAAGACAUUUUACUUGUCCAGUACCAACUGCAGAGGGAAAGGACGUAUUUGGGACUGUAUCUCUACGCCCGGAACCUGAGCGCCAGCACGGCCCACCGGGAAGAGAUGGAGCUCCACACCAAGCGCCUGGGGCUGGGCGAGGAGGAGAUCGUGUACGCCCCGUGGAAAAUGGAGCUGUGUCCAGUGAAAGAAAUGGAGGAAGGAACCAGCCCGUGCACAGAGCCCACGGCUGCGGCCACAGCGUCCCCUCCUGCAGGUACCCACCAGCCUGGGAGCGCAGGCAACCAACACCAAUAAUAACGUCCAAUAAACGUCCAAAACCACCAAUAAUAAUGGCA
rnacentral:lncRNA from 1 species